AUUGAACGCUGGCGGCAGGCCUAACACAUGCAAGUCGAACGAGUGGCGGACGGGUGAGUAAUGUCUGGGAAACUGCCUGAUGGAGGGGGAUAACUACUGGAAACGGUAGCUAAUACCGCAUACCAUCGGAUGUGCCCAGAUGGGCUUAGCUAGUAGGUGGGGUAAUGGAUCACCUAGGCGACGGUCCCUAGCUCGUCUGAGAGGAUUACCAGCCACACUGGUGCGGGGACACGCUCCAGACUCGUACGUGAGGCACCAGUGGGGAAUAUUGCACAAUGGGCGCAAGCCUGAUGCAGCCAUGCCGCGUGUGCGAAGCGGGCCUUCGGCUUGUAAAGCACUUUCAGCGGGGAGGCGUUACCCGCAGAAGAAGCACCGGCUAACUCCGUGCCAGCAGCCGCGGUAAUAC
rnacentral:rRNA from 1 species